GCGCCUACGGGGCGCAGCAGUAGGGAAUCUUUCACAAUGGGCGAAAGCCUGAUGGAGCAACGCCGCGUGCAGGAUGAAGGCCUUCGGGUUGUAAACUGCUUUUAUAAGCGAGAAAUAUGAUGGUAACUUAUGAAUAAGGAUCGGCUAGCUACGUGCCAGCAGCCGCGGUCAUACGUAGGAUCCGCGCAUUAUCCGGAGAGACUGGGGGUAAAGAGAUGCGUAGGUGGCAUAAUAAGUA
rnacentral:rRNA from 1 species